rnacentral:rRNA from 1 species
AGAGUUUGAUCAUGGCUCAGAUUGAACGCUGGCGGCAGGCCUAACACAUGCAAGUCGAACGGUAACAGGAAACAGCUUGCUGUUUCGCUGACGAGUGGCGGACGGGUGAGUAAUGUCUGGGAAACUGCCUGAUGGAGGGGGAUAACUACUGGAAACGGUAGCUAAUACCGCAUAACGUCGCAAGACCAAAGAGGGGGACCUUCGGGCCUCUUGCCAUCAGAUGUGCCCAGAUGGGAUUAGCUAGUAGGUGGGGUAACGGCUCACCUAGGCGACGAUCCCUAGCUGGUCUGAGAGGAUGACCAGCCACACUGGAACUGAGACACGGUCCAGACUCCUACGGGAGGCAGCAGUGGGGAAUAUUGCACAAUGGGCGCAAGCCUGAUGCAGCCAUGCCGCGUGUAUGAAGAAGGCCUUCGGGUUGUAAAGUACUUUCAGCGGGGAGGAAGGGAGUAAAGUUAAUACCUUUGCUCAUUGACGUUACCCGCAGAAGAAGCACCGGCUAACUCCGUGCCAGCAGCCGCGGUAAUACGGAGGGUGCAAGCGUUAAUCGGAAUUACUGGGCGUAAAGCGCACGCAGGCGGUUUGUUAAGUCAGAUGUGAAAUCCCCGGGCUCAACCUGGGAACUGCAUCUGAUACUGGCAAGCUUGAGUCUCGUAGAGGGGGGUAGAAUUCCAGGUGUAGCGGUGAAAUGCGUAGAGAUCUGGAGGAAUACCGGUGGCGAAGGCGGCCCCCUGGACGAAGACUGACGCUCAGGUGCGAAAGCGUGGGGAGCAACAGGAUUAGAUACCCUGGUAGUCCACGCCGUAAACGAUGUCGACUUGGAGGUUGUGCCCUUGAGGCGUGGCUUCCGGAGCUAACGCGUUAAGUCGACCGCCUGGGGAGUACGGCCGCAAGGUUAAAACUCAAAUGAAUUGACGGGGGCCCGCACAAGCGGUGAAGCAUGUGGUUUAAUUCGAUGCAACGCGAAGAACCUUACCUGGUCUUGACAUCCACGGAAGUUUUCAGAGAUGAGAAUGUGCCUUCGGGAACCGUGAGACAGGUGCUGCAUGGCUGUCGUCAGCUCGUGUUGUGAAAUGUUGGGUUAAGUCCCGCAACGAGCGCAACCCUUAUCCUUUGUUGCCAGCGGUCCGGCCGGGAACUCAAAGGAGACUGCCAGUGAUAAACUGGAGGAAGGUGGGGAUGACGUCAAGUCAUCAUGGCCCUUACGACCAGGGCUACACACGUGCUACAAUGGCGCAUACAAAGAGAAGCGACCUCGCGAGAGCAAGCGGACCUCAUAAAGUGCGUCGUAGUCCGGAUUGGAGUCUGCAACUCGACUCCAUGAAGUCGGAAUCGCUAGUAAUCGUGGAUCAAAAUGCCACGGUGAAUACGUUCCCGGGCCUUGUACACACCGCCCGUCACACCAUGGGAGUGGGUUGCAAAAGAAGUAGGUAGCUUAACCUUCGGGAGGGCGCUUACCACUUUGUGAUUUYUGCCUAGGUGAAGUCGUAACAAGGUAGCCGUAA